GUCGAACGCUGGCGGUGUGCUUAACACAUGCAAGUCGAACGGUAAGGCCCUUUCGGGGGUACACGAGUGGCGAACGGGUGAGUAACACGUGAGUAACCUGCCCUCAUCUCUGGGAUAACAGUCGGAAACGGUUGCUAAUACUGGAUAUGAGCUUGCAAGGCAUCUUGUGGGUUGGAAAGAUUUUUUUGGUUGGGGAUGGACUCGCGGCCUAUCAGCUUGUUGGUGAGGUAGUGGCUCACCAAGGCUUCGACGGGUAGCCGGCCUGAGAGGGCGACCGGCCACAUUGGGACUGAGAUACGGCCCAAACUCCUACGGGAGGCAGCAGUGGGGAAUAUUGCACAAUGGACGGAAGUCUGAUGCAGCAACGCCGCGUGCGGGAUGACGGCCUUCGGGUUGUAAACCGCUUUCAAUUGUGACGAAGCUUUUUGUGACGGUAGCAGUAGAAGAAGCACCGGCUAACUACGUG
rnacentral:rRNA from 1 species